GCAUAUCAAUAAGCGGAGGAAAAGAAAAUAACAAUGAUUCCCCUAGUAACUGCGAGUGAAGAGGGAUAAGCUCAAAUUUUAAAUCUGUUAGGUUUUACCUAACCGAAUUGUAAUUUGAAGAAGCGUUUUCCGCGGGUGCUUGAUGGUCCAAGUCCUUUGGGAUGAGGCAUCAUGGAGGGUGACAAUCCCGUACGGCCAUCAUUGCUUGUGUACGAUACGCUUUCAAAGAGUCAAGUUGUUUGGGAUUGCAGCUUAAAAUGGGAGGUAAAUUUCUCCUAAGGCUAAAUAUUGGCGAGAGACCGAUAGCGAACAAGUACCGUGAGGGAAAGAUGAAAAGCACUUUGAAAAGAGAGUUAAAUAGUACGUGAAAUUGUUGAAAGGGAAACGAUUGAAGCCAGUCGUACCGACGAAGGAUCAACUUUUGGAAUGCGAAUUGGGGUAUUCGAGGAGUUUAAAAGCCUUCGUGUGCUCAUGUAUUCGUGCUUCUUGGGUGCACUUCUUCGUAUUGGUAGGUUAACAUCAAUUUUGGACGUUACAAAAUGACUGGGGGAAUGUAGCUUCGAUUUUUCGAAGUGUUAUAGCCCUUGGUAGAUGUGACGACCGGGAUUGAGGAUUGCAACGAAUGCUUUCGGGCUAUCCGUCUGACCUCUGGUGGUUGCUUUGGGGUCGAAAGCGUGCUUACGGCUUUAAAGUUGGCUAUCAAAAGGCUAGAACGUGAUUAAAUUCGUUAAGGAUGUUGACGUA
rnacentral:rRNA from 1 species